ensembl:lncRNA
CACUCUCUGAGGUCCCAGUCCUGGCUGAGAGGAGGCAGAGGUCAGUUGGCAGCGCCCUCAGCACUAGGUCCCCAUACCCUGCCCAGCUGUCAUCCCUGGAGGAGCCAGGCGCCCAGGAUCCAGCUGGCCCUCAGGCCACCCAUACAGCGGGGGCAGGUCCUUCAGACUGUGUCUCAGGAAGACGGCCACCACCAUUAGGUCACAGAGGCAGGGACUGGGGAGAGAUUCACCGCCACCUCAAGGCCUGAGCCAAGGCCAGAAGGAGGCCUGGUGAGGGUUAUGGAGCCCUGCAGGACACAGCCCCCAGCUGGGCCCCCCAUCUCACCCACUGAUCCAAGGCCCCAAGAGAGAAGGCCAGGAUUCACCUCUUAGCUCAUUCUCAGUCUGACAACCACCACUCUGCCAACUGUUUGCUGAAUGGACCACUAACGGUCGCUCAUUGACAGUCGGUCACUUAGGGCAGGAGCCCACUGCAAUGCUGACCAAUGGCUGAGCAGGACCACUAACGGUCACUCAUUGACAGUUGGUCACUUGAGGGAGGGGCCCACUACGAUGCCAACUAGUAGCUGAACAUGAAUACUCACAGUCCCCUGGUAACCAUUGGCUGGUCAGAGAAACCUGGCUGGCUACAGUCCGUGGGGUCACAAAGAGUCCGACAUGACUGAGCACACACUCACAAGUGGAUGAGGACGGUGAGGCUCAGAGAGGAUGAUUUUCCAAGGUGCAGGGGGACAAUAAGGUGUGACUCAAAAAUAACACAAGAAUUGUGAAUGAAAUUUAGGCAGAGCCUUCAAAUCCUGCAGUCUUCAAUCACUUUAAAGGAUAGUACUGGCCUCCACUGUCUUGUCACAUUACUCAUCUAUCAUCUGCCAAAACCACUUCAUCACCUACAAACCAAGUAACCAGGCAAGAGAGAGGUCGGCGUGAACUUUCCCACAUCAAAAGUGAAUCAGGAAGUAGUUUCAAAGACAUAACGGAGGCUGGCACAGCUCUAAAUUGAAUAAUACAAGCAUUACCGUUGAAAGCAACAACUUCAUGCUCUUCCAUCUCAUUUCUUCUUGUAACACGGAGUUAGUGGUGUUUAAAAGAAAUUUCUGUGAAGAAUGAAUAGCUAACUCACAUAAAAUGACUAUGAUAUUAUUGCCAGGCUUCUAGAAUGGGCACAAUAGAUGUUAAGUAUUAAUACUAUUAUUUAUGGAUGUUGUUUAUUAAUGCAAAAAGUUAGUUACUUCCAUCUAGACAAAAUCAUCUGAAACAGUUUCCAAAGUUGAAACCUGGAGUUUGUUAAUGUCUAAACUGAGAGGUUAUGGACUUUGCUCACAUGAUGAAGUCUAAGGGAUUGCUCUUCAUGGGUUAAAUUAUAUGCUCACCUCCAUUCUGACUCUGGGAUGGCAAGGCAUUGAUGCUUUGAAAAGGUUAAGGUAAGGUGAAGUCGCUCAGUCAUGUCCGACUCUUUGCGACCCCAUGGACUGUAACCUACUGGCUUCUCCAUCCAUGGGAUUCUGCAGGCAAGAAUACUGGAGUGGACUGCCAUUUCCUUCUCCAGGGGAUCUUCGCAACCCAGGUCUCCCGCAUUGGAGGCAGACACUUUAACCUCCGAGCCACCAGGGAAAAGGUUGCGUACAGCUACAGUAAACCUCAGCACUCCAUUUAUAAUAUUAAGAAGGACUCAGAGUUUGAGAGAAAUAUGGUUAAGUCAGAAUAUGUUCCCCUACCAAGACUAGAAAUGCUGAACCUCUCCUCCUAAGUGCUCAACAACUUUGAUUAAGGGGUGGAAGGCAAUUUUAAAAAUCAAGAACAGAAUGUAUAGCACAAAGUUCAGAGGUCAUGAAAAAAUGAGUGGCACAGACAGAAUGUGAGUUCAACAGAAAUGUGCCAGGCAGUGUGCUAGAUUUGGACAAUGCAGAAGUGAAAAAUAACAUCAAGAAGCAGGGCUUGAGUGAACAUCAGAGCUACUGACCAACCCAGAGACAGGAAUGAGGAUUCAAAUAAUCCAAUCACUAGGCUGGCUAUUCCUAGCCCCCUGAGUUGACAGCAACGUCAGCCUCAAGGGGGAAAGUCCACUGGUAUAUUGGUGAAUGGUGGAAAUUCUCAGACAUAUUCUUCAGUUAAGCAUCAAGUCAUCUGAUGGUCACAUGUUGACCUCCAUCUUUGAUCCAGUUACCCAGCUCUUUGCCAGUUCCUUCAUGACAAACCUUUCUUUAUAUCACAGUUUCAGAAUCUCAGCUCCUGAUUGUUUUCUCUUCCCUUGCUUUAUCUGAGUGUGGGGUUUCUUCCCCCAAAUCCAGUUCUUUCCAGGUCUGUAUUCCCACUAUUUUGUCCCAUUCCCUAAAGCUGAGUCAUCACUACCUCCCAGAAGCUAAAUGUCUAACUCAACCAAUUUCUGUCUCCUACAGAUUAGAGACCUCCCUCAUGUGCCUACAGCACAGACCUCUCCCACUUCCAUGACCACCCCGUCUGGCCAGCUAUCUUCUCUAAGCCAUGUUAUGAAGAGGCCAGUGUUCAGGAUUUCAGUCUAGCUGGAAAAGAAAUAAGAAACAGAGUCCAGCAGAGACCAAGGCAGAGUCCCAGAGCCCACCAUGAACACAAAGCACGCUGGCUGUAGUAGUUCAAACAGUAUUCAGACUGCCCAUAGUAGUUUGAACAGUGUUCCCCAAAAUUCACCGAGAAACAAAGGGCAAAAGGAGAAUAAGAAACUAGUAAGAGAGAUGGACCCCAUCAAUAACCAUGACGUUUGACUCUAGCAAAGCUCAUCUCAUAGUCACCAAACGUCCAAGCCUCCAGUGUCACUGAGUAAGAAAGUCUUUUUCAAUCAUAAAACUUCUUUGUAUUCUCCCUCUACUCCCAAAGACAAUAAUGGGAAAUAGUGCUGAGCAAAUGGAGACUUUUCUGUUGUUUUUUCAUCAGGUGCCACUGAAAGAUAAGAUUCAUGUUGCAAGGUACAUGUUGUAGGUAAUCCUCUGAACCAAACUGCAUGUCCACUUUCAGAGCCAACUGCUGCUCUUGAACUAGGAAGAUGAUACAGUGGGACCAUUACAUUCAUGGAUGCCAAACCCACAGAUAAGGAACCUGCCCAUAUGGAAGGCCAAUUGUAUCAUGGACAUCUUGAGCAUGCUCAGAUUUUAUUGUCCAUAGGAGGUCCUGGAACCAGUUCCCCUACAUAUACUGAGGGGCGACUAUUCAAAAAGGCACAGAGGAGAAUUCUACGGCAGAUAUGAAAAGGAGAUCAGAAGUGUGCUCUGCUCAGCUUUUCCCUUAAGGCCAGCAAUAAAAACAGAAGGCAUAUUUUCACAAACUUCCAUUUGUCCUGGUGCCUUUCCGGUAUCAUCCUGCCCAACUCUCUCGUUCCUUCCUCCAGGCUCACUAAAUACAACAGCAGACUGAGUGAGCUCCUAAUCCAGGCCAGCAGCCACAGAGCCAAGUGCUGAACACUCAGCAGGGAUAGGACAUACGUAGUAGCCCCUGCUUUCAGGAAAGCAGAUUGGUAAAAUGAACAAAAAUUUUGCACUAAUUAAUGAACCUGGUAACAUGCCGAGGAAGAAGACAGGAAGAAGGUGGUCAGCGUGUGUUUGACACAGCCUGACUCUUAGCCAGAGAGAAAACUGCUGAAAUCUCUUCCCAAGUCAGCUGCUGGUAUAUAUCCUGUAUCAACAUGAGGUGUUAUUUAUGUCUCCAUGAAUUUAAUUAACCUAUGAUUUCCACUGGUUCACUUCCUUUGUUUUCCAGUUGAGCGACUUAACAGACUGUUAGGAUCUUCCACAGCUUGCAAGGAAAGGGGACUGGCCUUUCCUUUUAGUUGAGCCUAAGGGUUUCUCCAGACUUAAGAUCCUAUUUUAGGAAAUACCUGAAGCAUCGAACUUAAAAACCAAAACCAGAAAGGGAGAAGAUUGUAAGAAAUAGACGGAGUCCUAGUUUCAACUAUGAAAAGAAAACAUUGUCAGUUCAAAAAAAUUGGAAGAAUAAGCCUUAGAUUUAAUAUAGAUUAUAAUGUCACCCUGUGAUAUGGUUUUUACUUUACCUUGGUUUUCCAAGCAGUAACUUCGGUUUAUUAAUUUCACUCAUAUCUGGGCAGAAACUGAC